rnacentral:rRNA from 3 species
GGACUACAAGGGUAUCUAAUCCCGUUCGCUCCCCUAGCUUUCGCGUCUCAGCGUCAGGUGGGGCCCAGGAGCCCGCUUUCGCCACGGGCGUUCCUUCCGAUCUCAACGCAUUUCACCGCUCCACCGGAAGUUCCGGCUCCCCCUACCCCCCUCCAGGCCGGCCGUUUCGGCGCCCCUUCCCCGGUUGAGCCGGGGGCUUUCAGCGACCGACGCGCCGACCCGCCUACACGCGCUUUAAGCCCAGUGAUUCCGAAUAACGUUCGCACGGUUCGUCUUACCGCGGCUGCUGGCAC